rnacentral:rRNA from 1 species
UGGGGAAUAUUGCUCAAUGGGCGCAAGCCUGAUGCAGCCAUGCCGCGUGUGUGAAGAAGGCCUUCGGGUUGUAAAGCACUUUCAGCGGGGAGGAAGGCGUUAAGGUUAAUAACCUUGGCGAUUGACGUUACCCGCAGAAGAAGCACCGGCUAACUCCGUGCCAGCAGCCGCGGUAAUACGGAGGGUGCAAGCGUUAAUCGGAAUUACUGGGCGUAAAGCGCACGCAGGCGGUUUGUUAAGUCAGAUGUGAAAUCCCCGGGCUCAACCUGGGAACUGCAUCUGAUACUGGCAAGCUUGAGUCUCGUAGAGGGGGGUAGAAUUCCAGGUGUAGCGGUGAAAUGCGUAGAGAUCUGGAGGAAUACCGGUGGCGAAGGCGGCCCCCUGGACGAAGACUGACGCUCAGGUGCGAAAGCGUGGGGAGCAAACAGG